ensembl:lncRNA
AUAUAAUAUAGAGAAAGUGCAUAUAGUGCCUUUAAAAAUGAUUUAUAACCAGAUUUAAAAUAUAUGAAAAUCAUUAUAACAAAAUAUCAAUCGAAGUGACAUUAUUUAUUUUAAAGAAACUACACAAAUGUUCAAGCACAGUAUUUCACAAAAUGAUCAAUUGCAAUGAAAUUCAUACAUUUGUACGAAUACUUUUUGGGGCCGCUAAAUAUCAUAUUAAACAGGUACCACACAACAUAAGUGAUUUACAGUGCCAGUGCAACUGCAGUAAUGUACUCAAUGUACUUAUUGCUGUUGAAAUCAAUUGAGAAAUGUCCUCGGGUAUCUACUGUUUCAGAUACAGUAAAGAACGACUCUGUUUGUUGAUGAAAUGAAUAGAUCUCUGGGUCACGUACAAGGCUGCAUGGGUUGGUGAUUUGCAUCGGCACUGUGAUGAAGGUCAUAUGACAUCAGAGGCGCAGAGUAAAGAAACCAUCAAACAACAACACCACCUCAGUUUCACCUCAUCAAGGAGAGGGCAUCGAGAUACAGAGAGAGAAAACGAUCGUGUGAUAAUAUGCCAUUACAGCGAUUAAAAAAUUAAAACAGAAAGGAAGGGAAAUAGGGAAUACACAUUGCAAGAUUGAUAGAUUCAGAGGAGAUAAGGAAGGAGGGGUGGACACGUGAUGAGGAGACAUAUUGAUUUGAAUGGUCAGGUUCAACUUAAAAUAGCAAUAAUUAUAAUAAUAAUAAUGAUAGUCAUUUUAAAUGCCUUCAGAUUCUUAUAAUAAGUUCUUCUGACCUAAUUAAAACCCAGAAGGAAGAUAUUAUUAAAGCUUUAACCCUUUGUUUAAACACAUUACAGUGUCUUAGUAUGUGAAAAGGAAUACGAGAUAUGUGAAAAAUAUGGUUUAUAUGGAUAUCAGUAAAUAGCAAAAUGCUUUUAGAGCUGUGGUGCAGUGGACUAUUUAAUAUCUCUUUCUUGUGUAUAAUAUCAUUUUUUUUAAAAAAUAAGGAAAAAUCCCAAAAACACGUUAAUUGCUGAAAAAGAUGGGAGUAUUUCAGGUUAAAAGCAAGUUUAUUACCAGAUAAUAACCCUAACUUCAGUUUGGAAAAAAAAAAAAAAACGAAAAAGAAAUGAACAGUAAUGCAUUUGCAAUGGAGGUUUUUUAUUUUAUUUUUUUUUUCUAAUCAAAAUUAUUUUAUAAUUUUUUUUUUAUGUUAACUUGGAACUCGCAAAAACGACUUUGAACAGAGUUUAGCUUGUAUUCAAUCUGUGAUAUUCCGUCAAAAAAAAAAAUAAUAAUAAUAAUAAUGACUGUAGGAAAUCACCAUGCUUUUUGAUUAUGUGCUGGAUGAUUAAAAGAAGUGUCUUACAGUGCAGUAAGAUUAAAUCAAGUGUAUUUAGGUCAACAGCCAUGAGCAAAAGUCUGCUGUCUGUAAAUAUAUAUUUGACUGUGUGCUAGUCGCACUCUAUCAACUGUAUCUGCUCCUAAACAGUAACAAGACAUGCUGUUAAACUGUUAAAGUCAGUGACUAUAAGUGAUAAAGUUACUAAUCAUCUAGGAGUAAACAAUAUCCAUCAUGUGCCAUCCUAAAUGACAGUAAAUGCAGGUCAAGUUUAACCUUAGUCUCUUAAUACAAUUUUGGCCAAAGAACUAAUCUAUCAAGAAGCCCGGAUCUUAAAAAAAACAGAUUUUUUUUUUUUUUUUGAGGGGAAAGCUGAAACAUUUGACCUGAUAUUUGAAUGGGAUUUGGUUCCGUUGUCCGAUUUCUUCUGGGACAAAGUCAAAGCCUCAUCCUCAGAAGUAUGUUGGUUUGUUUAUGAUUUAAUCGCUGGAAAUGUGCAUUACUGCACGAGCCGAUUAAAUUACCCGAGUGUUGAAAAAGAUGUUUAUAGUUUAUUUAUUAGGGCUGCUCAUUAGCUGAUGCAAAGCGCCUGUAACCCUUGUGGCUCGUGAGUUUAAUUGAGCCUCUGUGGUGAAACGCAGGAAUGAACUGAUGAAGAGAAAAGCAGACGCUCCUCAAACAUGAGCUAAAGUAGGACUUAAAGGGAUAGUUCACCCAAAAAUCUAAAUCCUGUCAUCAUUUGCUCAUCCGCAUGUCGUUCCAAACCUGGCUUUAUUUUUUUACUCUGUGGAACACAAGAUAAAAUCUGUUUUUGACUAUGUAAUGAAAGGCAAGGGGCCCAAAAACAUCUACCAAAAACAUUUUGUGGACAACAUGAGGGCGAGUAAAAGAAAACACAUUUUUAAUUAUAAGGCAAAACAUAUAUAUUUUUAUACAAUGAUUCAUUUUGGGCUAUUUUGCUUUCAUAAAAUGUCUUCUUUUUGAAUAGUGGAGUGGUUUAUUUUAUUUUACAACUAUUUGCCAGAAAUAGUAGCACUUACAUAAACCAAACUUUACUGUUUUAUUCAUAUCUAUAUUCUGAAGGUUUUUACAUAGUGGUUUGUUUACAUAUUAUUCACCUGCUUCAUAUAAAACCUAAAAAAAAAUUCUGGCUGUUGAGAGUUGACAAGUGAUUAAAAGAGAAAUCCAAAACCUUUAAUACAUCAGCAAAAUGAAACAAGAAUUUUGAACCUGUGUUCAGAAGCCAGUUUCUAACAAAAUUAUAAAAUUAAAAAAGUAAUUGUGACUUUUUUUUAAAUCUCACAAUUCAUAUUUUUUUCUUGUAAUUUUGAGUUCAUAUCUCACAAUUCUGACUUUUUUGUGGACAAUUAUUUUUUUCCUCCUCAAAAACCUGAAAUUGCGAGAAAAAGUCAGAAUUCUGAGUUUAUAUCUCACAAUUCUGACUAUUUUUUUUUCUCAGAAUUGCAAGAAAAAAGAAAGAAUUGUGAGAUUAAAAGUCACAAUUUCUUUUUUAUUUUUGUAUCCUAUAUGUUGGAAACAGGUUUCCAUAGAUUUCUUUUAUUUAUUUUUUUUAUUACAUACUGCCUCAUUUGCAUUUCAGAAAACUAGUAAUACAAAGUGUUAUGUCUUAGCACAGUGUUAUGAAAUAACUGGGGAAGUAUUCACCUAAUUUCACCCACUUCUGAAGGGUUACUGAUUUUAUGGAACAAACAGUCAGUGAAGUCAAGUUCAAGUUCACAUACGUCUAGACCGACUCGUUCCAUAUUUUCUUCGCAUACGGGGGGUCUGUUUGCCCUUUGACCCGUGUGUAAGUUGCUAUGGAAGGGCGGCGAGAGGGUUCAGUAAUGUUCCCGUGAAAAGGCUGUGCUGUCAGGGCUGUCUAGUGACGUCCCCCCUUCCCCGCCUCUCUCCGCAGCUGGGCACGGUCCCGGAGCCUGGGAAUCUUCAGGAUAAGACCUGGUCCACCCCCCAUUGAGACUCAGUCUAGCCGUACCCUCACCCCACCAUCUGCACGCCGCCGGUCUCAAGUUCAAAUCUAAUGCACAUAUGAUGCACAAUACAGAGGUGCAAAGGUUUGCUUGUAAUUGCAGUAAUGCAUGUGUGUUUUUAUGCACUGUUCAGUAAAUAUAAAUGGAGACCUGCCAAGAACGCCGUCUUGUAAUUGGUUGGCGAUGCUGAAGGUGUGUGUUUGGAGUCGGAAAGAGAAUUACAGUGUGUAAGAAUGUGUGUGUGGUUGUCGGGCAGCAGGAGGGUAUAAUAAAAGGAGUCAUUUGCAUAAGCUGCAUGGAGCCCGAAGAGGGUGUUCGGAGGAAAACAACAAGAAUGAAAAAAGGACAAAUCCUACGUUGUGCGGGCAGAAAGAGAAAGCGAGGGCUCGCGUAUAGGGGAGAGGGUGGAAAUUAAGAGAGAAAGACUUGAAGCUGCUCCCCUGUGGUAAUGAAAAGCAUCAGGAACCUCAAUGCAUAAUAUUUGAACACUGUGACAGAGCGCUUACACUGUUUACAAAGGCCUAUUGAGGAAGAGAGAAAGAGAUUGAUUACGGAUCAUUUAUUUAGCUUUUGAUGAGCGUGGAACAUGUGAAAAUAUUAAAAUCGUAUUAUCGUGGCUCUGCGGCCUCUGUGUGAAGCUGUAUUGUGAUUUGUGUUUCGAGCGGCAGGUACAACGGCACGUUUUAUUCUGAUCACAAUGUCUGUGCAAUUAAAAAAUCACUGUUUAAGGAACCACGUCUUUUUAGGUUGUAAGUUAAUGCACCUUUGGUAAGCACUUAUCUGUUUCUCUUUUACAGAUGUGGACUGGACUCGGUGGAUUCGAUUAAUUAUGCAUCCAGAGAGAACAAUGGGGAGCCUCAAGCACCUGAAAGUUUAAGAGGCACAUAAAAUCAUGUUGAUGAUGAUGAGGAUGAUGUGUGUGUGAAAAGGACAAGAGCAAGAAAAGAAUUGUACUGUACUGUAUUAUACAGUGUUUUCAUUAAGAUCAUGUACAUCAUUUUAAUACAUUUCUUUACAGUUAGCCUACUUAAAGAUAUUCACAUCUUUCUAAACCUGUAUUUUUUUUCAUUUUUAUUAAUGUAUUUUUUGUUGCCCUGAUAACUGUUAAAAAUGAAAAAUAUGAUGUGCAUCUACAUACAUACAUUUUUGUAUUUUUACAGCCUAUUUAUUUCCUGUUUUUUUAUAUUGAGUUUUUCUGAUUUUUUAUUGUCAUUUAAUUUUAUUUAUAAAUAAAAUAUUUCUACUGUAUAUUGUAUUGUAUGGAUG